GAUGAACGCUGGCGGCGUGCCUAAUACAUGCAAGUCGAGCGAACAGACGAGGAGCUUGCUCCUCUGACGUUAGCGGCGGACGGGUGAGUAACACGGGGAUAACCUACCUAUAAGACUGGGAUAACUUCGGGAAACCGGAGCUAAUACCGGAUAAUAUAUUGAACCGCAUGGUUCAAUAGUGAAAGACGGUUUUGCUGUCACUUAUAGAUGGAUCCGCGCCGCAUUAGAUAGUUGGUAAGGUAACGGCUUACCAGGGCAACGAUGCGUAGCCGACCUGAGAGGGUGAUCGGCCACACUGUAACUGGGACACGGUCCAGACUCCUACGGGAGGCAGCAGUAGGGAAUCUUCCGCAAUGGGCGAAAGCCUGACGGAGCAACGCCGCGUGAGUGAUGAAGGUCUUCGGAUCGUAAAACUCUGUUAUUAGGGAAGAACAAAUGUGUAAGUAACUAUGCACGUCUUGACGGUACCUAAUCAGAAAGCCACGGCUAACUACGUG
rnacentral:rRNA from 1 species